CUCUGAGUUCCAGUGCCGCCACCAUCAACAGUAGCGUCACCUUCUCAGCUUCUCUGUCAUCGUGGUGUCGUCAAUCCCACCUCUGUCCUCGUCCUCUUUGGCCACCCCUCUUCUCCUCCUGGAUCCCUUCUCCUCGCAUCGCCAGGUCUGCUCGGAGCUGUUGUUGGUGUCGUCAAGCCACUUCUGUCCUUGUCGUCGUCGGCCUCCAUGAACUUCUCUGUCCUCGUCGUCUUUCCCCGUCUUUGUCUUCGAUCCCUUUCUCUGUCGAGCUCACGGCGAAGUUCGAACGUUACUCUCUGCCGCCGUGGACUCUUCGCUCACUCUGCCGCCGGGGACUCUUCGCUCACUCUGCCGCCGUAGAAAAUUACAGAGUUUGAUUACGUUGCUCUCCCUGUUUCUCGAGUUCUUUGAAUAAUUUUGUUGAUUUUGCACCUGCAACUGACGUGAAAGAGUGGCAUAAGAAAGUUGCAUCUGUGAAGAAGAAAAAAUCAAGGAGAUGGAUGCUGCUGCUAGGAGUGCAAGGCUUGCCGUGGCAAAGAGAAAAGAUAAGGCGAUUCACUACAAUCAGCAGCCUGUGCGGUAAACAGGAUGGCAAGUGGCAAAGUACUUGUAUCUUGUCUUUGUUUAUCCUUUUGUUUUGCCCUUUAUAUUUCAGUCUUUCCAUUAUCAUAUAUGGGCAUAUGCUCUUUGUUCAUUUGCAAAUGCAAAAUAAACAUCGAUAGAGGCUUUAGAUAAAUUGACUAUGAGCAAAUUUAUAAUUUUACAUGAGGGAAAAUACGAGUAUAUGAAUCUUUUACUCUGGUACUCUAUGUGUACUUAUCAAAGUUUUAAAGCAAGAAGGUAUAAUCCAUUUUUCUGUCCCAUUUGUUUCA